UAUUUUGGCUCAAAUCGCAGUCAAAUUGUUAACUUGUAUUUAUGUAGUAUUUGCGGCAUUGGGGAAAUGUUUUGUGGUUCGCUCUGUAGACAACCAACCAAGAAGCCAUGAGAAAACCAAAUCGGCUCAAUCCAAUUCCGAGGAACAAUUAAUGACUCCGGCGAUAAAAGAGCCACUUUGGCAAAGAAUUCAGAAUUUAGAGGCAGUGGUAACUGAGAUGGCUAAUAAACCUAAUACAAUUCCUCCUGAAAAAGAAGAUAUUCUUCAAGAGUCAUUGAGUCGCAUAAAAUGUAUAGAAUAUGACUUGCAAAAAACAAAGAAGGCCCUGCUAGCCACUGCUUCAAAGCAAGUUGAGCUUGCCGAGUCAUUGGAAAGCUUAAAGGAGAGUAAAUUUGACGGAAGAAAUUCAUGUUGGCCUAAAAAUAGAAGUUAUGCCCCAGGAAGAUGAGCCCGUUUUUCAGCAUCAGUUUGCAGUCCAUUGUUUUUUAUACUUUACAGCUGAAUUACUACCAGAGCUAAACUUCUAUUGGCUUAUAUAAAAGAAUUACUCUCAUUAUCAUAUAGGCUUGAGGAAUGUGGGCUAUGGGGAGUGCAUAGCCCCAAUGUAUAGAAGGCAACAAGAAUUUUUUAUGAAGAUUCUGGACUUCAAAUACUCCUUUUAAAUGUAUAACUGAGUGUGUUAACCACAUUUAUUUUCUUAUUGGCUUUUCUGUACAGAGGACAUAUACACAAAGUAUGCUACUCAAAUUCAGAUGUAUUUUAAUACCCGAUGCAUAUAUGCA